AAACAUUAAAACAAAAAUAGAAAUUAAAUAGACUAAAUUAAAGCAUAAACUAUACUUAGAUUGUGAAAUAUUAAUUUUGCCAAGAAAUUUAUGGGUAUAGAUCUGUAGUUAACAUAUAUAAGUGAUAUGUAAUAAACCAAAAAAAAAAAAUGUAAUAAAAGACAAAUGCUUUCAAAAGUUGAAAAAUUAUUAAAAGUAAUUUUUUUUAGAAAAAUAAUAAAAGAACCAAAGGCUAAAAUAUCAUCCUCAAAACAACAAAGGUGCAUCUAUCCUUGAUUUAAUGGUUAAGAUUACUAGAUACUUUAAUUGAAAUCAAAAUGCACCCUCACUUUCCCACUUUAGAGGAAUUAAACCUUCCUAAAAACUGCCAUUCUUAAUAGGGCAGAGUUCUGCCACCACUCAAGGCUGAAACCGAAGUUGACGGCUUUAUGCCAGUGGCUGGAAAAGUUAUGAUUACAACCUCUUCUAUUGUUACACAUUUGAAAGCAGUAAGGAAAAUUUUGCAGUAGAAACCAAAUAAAGCAUUUUACAAUCUUGCUAUCACUUCCAAUUAUAUGAACCCCUGAUUGAAAAGCUUGGAGACUUCUAACUGAAAACCUCAUAUUUAAAAAUGUGGAGGUGAACUCUUUUUCAGUUCCAGGGACAUGAAAAUGAAUCUGGUUUAAAGGUUCAAGCCUUCAGCACUUUUUAUGCCUUCAUGACUAUGCCUGUGUCCCUCAUUUUUUCACUUGCAAGUUAGUGUGCUCUUCCACCUUUUGUUUCCGCCACCCUUUUGUAUUUGUUGAUUGUAUUUGUGUUUUUUGUUAUUUGUUUUUUUCCCAUGCUUUAGAUUGAUGAUUAUGGUUUCUGUGUAGUGUCUCUCUGAUCAUUACUGAAUGAAUGGACACUAGAAAAUUACUACCCCUUUUGAGAGCUUCUAUGAAUUCCAAGUCACCGAAGCAAGGCAAGCUCAUUCAUCAGAAAGUUGUAACUUUGGGCUUGCAAAAUGAUAUUUUCUUAUGCAAGAACGUGAUUAACCUAUAUCUUUCUUGCCAUUUGUUUGAUCAUGCAAAGUGUGUUUUUGAUACCAUGGAAAACCCAUGUGAGAUAUCCUUGUGGAAUGGCCUGAUGGCAGGUUAUACUAAGAAUUACAUGUAUGUGGAAGCCCUAGUGCUUUUUGAGAAACUGUUACACUACCCUUACCUGAAACCUGAUAGUUAUACAUACCCUAGUGUUCUUAAGGCUUGUGGGGGACUCUGUAGAUUUGUCUUGGGAAAAAUGAUACAUACGUGUUUGAUAAAAACUGGUUUAAUGAUGGACAUUGUUGUUGGAAGCUCUCUUGUGGGUAUGUAUGCAAAAUGCAAUGCAUUUGAGAAAGCUAUACAGAUGUUCAAUGAAAUGCCUGAAAAGGAUGUGGCAUGCUGGAAUACAGUGAUUUCUUGUAAUUACCAAAGUGGAAAGUUCAAAGAGGCCCUACAUUAUUUUGGCAUGAUGAGAAGAUUUGGAUUUCAGCCUGAUUCAGUUACAAUCACAACUGCCAUUUCCUGUUGUGCUAGACUUUUGGAUUUGAACAGGGGAAUGAAAAUUCACGAGGAAUUAAUUAAUAGUGGGUUUCUUCUAGAUAGUUUCAUUAUCUCUGCUCUUGUUGACAUGUAUGGAAAAUGUGGUCACCUAGAAAGGGCCAUAAAGGUUUUUGAGCAGAUGCCUAAAAAGACUAUUGUUGCUUGGAAUUCCAUGAUUACUGGAUAUGGUUUGAAAGGUGACAGCAUUUCAUGCAUUCAACUUUUCAAGAGGAUGUACAAUGAAGGAGUCAAGCCAACUUUGACUACUUUAAGCAGUUUAAUAAUGGUUUGUUCACGAUCAGCCCGACUGCUAGAAGGGAAGUUUGUACAUGGAUAUAUACUACGAAACAGGAUACAGCCUGAUGUUUUUAUUAAUAGCUCACUCAUGGAUCUAUACUUCAAAUGUGGAAAGGUAGGGUUGGCUGAAAAUAUUUUUAAAUUAAUACCAAAGUCCAAUGUAGUUUUUUGGAAUGUUAUGAUUUCUGGAUAUGUGGCUGAAGGAAAUUUUUUUGAAGCCCUUGGCCUCUUUAGUAAAAUGACAAAAUCCUUUGUUGAGCCGGAUGCUAUUACUUUUACCAGUGUUUUAGCAGCUUGUUCUCAACUAGCAGCACUAGAGAAAGGUAAAGAGAUUCACAAUAUGAUUGCUGAGAGAAAUUUGGACAACAGUGAAGUGGUUAUGGGAGCUCUCCUUGAUAUGUAUGCAAAGUGUGGUGCUGUAGAUGAAGCAUUUGGUGUUUUUAAAUGUUUGCCAGAAAGAGAUCUGGUGUCCUGGACUUCUAUGAUUACUGCUUAUGGGUCCCAUGGUCAGGCCUAUGAAGCUUUGGAGCUUUUUGCUGAAAUGCUGAAGUCCAAUGUGAAACCUGAUAGGGUUACUUUUCUUGCUAUAUUAUCUGCUUGUGGCCAUGCUGGGUUGGUUGAUGAAGGAUGCUAUUACUUCAAUCAAAUGAUCCAUGUUUAUGGCAUUAUGCCUAGAGUUGAACAUUAUUCAUGCUUGAUAGAUCUUCUUGGGCGUACUGGAAGAUUGCAUGAAGCGUAUGAGAUUUUGCAAAGAAACCCUGAAAUCAGGGAUGAUGUUGGAUUGUUAAGCACAUUAUUUUCUGCAUGCCGUUUGCACAGAAAUAUUGAUCUGGGAGUUGAAAUUGCAAGAAUGCUCAUUGAUAAGAAUCCUGAUGAUUCAUCAACCUAUAUUCUAUUGUCAAAUAUGUAUGCUUCUGCACAUAAAUGGGAUGAAGUGCGGAUGGUGAGAUCAAAGAUGAAAGAGCUUGGAUUAAAGAAGAAUCCAGGGUGUAGUUGGAUUGAAAUUAACCAGAAGAUCGUACCUUUCUUUGUUGAAGACAAUUCACACUUGCAUCUAGAACUGGUUAAUAAAUGCCUUUCAUAUCUUACUGGUCACAUGGAAGACGAGUCGGAGCCAUUUAUAUAUCAUUCUGAUGUUGAAACAUUGAUAUUUUAUUAGUUUUCAAAUUUGCAUAGGAGGAUAAGCUUUGGAGCUAGACAUGGGGAUCCUAAAACAAUGAUCCUUGGUGCGAGUGACUGGCGCUAAAAUCCAAAAUGGACCUAAAAAGAUGACAUCAACACAAAAAGAACUCUGGCUUUCCAUUGCUCGUUGCAAUUUCAUCCAGGCUUACUAACUCAAUGGAAAGGAAGCUGCUGCUCAUAAUACAUGGAAGGAAAUGUACUUCAUUCAAUUUUUCAUUCAAAAUUGUUUGUUCGCAAUUCAGUGUACACUCACGCACAUGUAAUAGAAAGACAGAUUGACCUCUCCUCUCUCUCAGUUGUCAAAUAUCUAAAGGAAAAAGGUUGCAUGUUAAACUGAUAGAUUUUCUAGCUAGCACAGAACAUUACAUUCUUGCAGAGGGAAAUACAAUUUGUAGCACAUGUGAAGAAGAAUCCUAAUCCUUUGAGUUGUGGGUGUCCAUGUCCAGCAGUGAUACUAGGGAUUUAAGGAUAAAAAAGAAAGAGAAGGAAGAUGGGUGUUUGGGAAUGAGAUUGUCACUAAAUUAAAGCAAAAGAAGGGUGAAGGGAUCGCUAGAAGAUUUGAUGGCAUGUAGAGACAAAUGAUAACCGCUCUGGCCUUCAAUCUAAAGCCACCCAGGCAAAUGAGCUGCUAGCAGCAGUUGCAAUCAACAGAGCUGAGAAACUGGAGCACAAAAGCCAACCACUCGUUUAGGAGAUUGGUGAUGUUGCUAUUAAUGAACCUGAUCUUCAAAUCUUCUCUAUUUUGAGUCACUCAGGUUCAGUAUAUUUGAUUUGUUUCUAUUUGCUUGGUCCAUUUUUGUAGAUGGGUUUGGGAUCUCGUGGUUUGCAGGUUUUCCAAGCCUGGAAGGGUAGUAAUGUCAGUUCCAAUUUUGGAAUUCGAUUCUAUGUUAUUUGAUUUACCUUUUCGUUUUUCUUUGUUUAUCAAAUUUGGUGUCACAAUUCUGCUCUCCAAAAAUUUCCCUUUAUUGCAAGUACUUAAGUUAUUGAUCAUUGUUCCAGAACGUAUUUUAUUAUUUUCUAUUAUAUUUGUUGUGGUUGUAGCUUCAAUUCUAAUUUUUAUUUUUUGAAUUGUUAUUUGUUAGGUCA